CCUACGGGUGGCAGCAGUGGGGAAUAUUGCACAAUGGGGGAAACCCUGAUCCAGCGACGCCGCGUGAGCGAUGAAGUAUUUCGGUAUGUAAAGCUCUAUCAGCAAGGAAGAAAAUUACGGUACCUGACUAAGAUUCCCCGGCUAACUACGUUCCAGCAGCCGCGGUUAGACGUCGGGGGCAGGCGUUAUCCGGAUUUACUGGGUGUUAAGGGGGCUUAGACGGCUUGGCAAGCUAGAUGUGAAAGCCUGGGGCUCAACCCGAGGACUGCAGUUGGAACUGUCAUGCUAGAGUGUCGGAGGGGCAGGUGGAAUUCGUGGUGUAGCGGUGAAAUGCGUAGAUAUUAGGAAGAACACCAGUGGCGAAGGCAGUCUGCUGGAGGAUGACUGACGUUGAGGCUCGAAAGUGCGGGGAGCAAACAGGAUUAGAUACCCCAGUAGUC
rnacentral:rRNA from 1 species